UUAAGCGACUAAGCGUACACGGUGGAUGCCCUGGCAGUCAGAGGCGAUGAAGGGCGUGCUAAUCUGCGAUAAGCGCCGGUAAGGUGAUAUGAACCGUUAUAACCGGCGAUACCCGAAUGGGGAAACCCAGUGUGACUCGUCACACUAUCAUUAACUGAAUCCAUAGGUUAAUGAGGCGAACCGGGGGAACUGAAACAUCUAAGUACCCCGAGGAAAAGAAAUCAACCGAGAUUCCCCCAGUAGCGGCGAGCGAACGGGGAGGAGCCCAGAGCCUGAAUCAGCAUGUGUGUUAGUGGAAGCGUCUGGAAAGGCGCGCGAUACAGGGUGACAGCCCCGUACACAAAAGCGCAUGUGCUGUGAGCUCGAUGAGUAGGGCGGGACACGUGGUAUCCUGUCUGAAUAUGGGGGGACCAUCCUCCAAGGCUAAAUACUCCUGACUGACCGAUAGUGAACCAGUACCGUGAGGGAAAGGCGAAAAGAACCCCGGCGAGGGGAGUGAAAAAGAACCUGAAACCGUGUACGUACAAGCAGUGGGAGCCCCACCACUAAGCCAGUGGUGAACUCCACAUACGCAUCCUUUGCUGAGGAUACGGUUAACGGAGCGAAAGCGACGUUCAACCGCAAAAGAAGCAGAGGGGGCUUAGUGGUGGGGUGACUGCGUACCUUUUGUAUAAUGGGUCAGCGACUUAUAUUCUGUAGCAAGGUUAACCGAAUAGGGGAGCCGGAGGGAAACCGAGUCUUAAUUGGGCGUUAAGUUGCAGGGUAUAGACCCGAAACCCGGUGAUCUAGCCAUGGGCAGGUUGAAGGUUGGGUAACACUAACUGGAGGACCGAACCGACUAAUGUUGAAAAAUUAGCGGAUGACCUGUGGCUGGGGGUGAAAGGCCAAUCAAACCGGGAGAUAGCUGGUUCUCCCCGAAAGCUAUUUAGGUAGCGCCUCGUGAAUUCAUCUCCGGGGGUAGAGCACUGUUUCGGCUAGGGGGCCAUCCCCGGCUUACCAACCCGAUGCAAACUGCGAAUACCGGAGAAUGUUAUCACGGGAGACACACGGCGGGUGCUAACGUCCGUCGUGAAGAGGGAAACAACCCAGACCGCCAGCUAAGGUCCCAAAGUCAUGGUUAAGUGGGAAACGAUGUGGGAAGGCCCAGACAGCCAGGAUGUUGGCUUAGAAGCAGCCAUCAUUUAAAGAAAGCGUAAUAGCUCACUGGUCGAGUCGGCCUGCGCGGAAGAUGUAACGGGGCUAAACCAUGCACCGAAGCUGCGGCAGCGAACGUAUCACUUAAAGCGAUUCAGCGGGUUACGAUUGACGGAGCGAAGCGACGUCAAAGCGUAUACAAAGUCGAGUCGGUUUAAGGAUACGUUCGUUGGGUAGGGGAGCGUUCUGUAAGCCUGUGAAGGUGGCCUGUGAGGGUUGCUGGAGGUAUCAGAAGUGCGAAUGCUGACAUAAGUAACGAUAAAGCGGGUGAAAAGCCCGCUCGCCGGAAGACCAAGGGUUCCUGUCCAACGUUAAUCGGGGCAGGGUGAGUCGACCCCUAAGGCGAGGCCGAAAGGCGUAGUCGAUGGGAAACGGGUUAAUAUUCCCGUACUUGGUGUUACUGCGAAGGGGGGACGGAGAAGGCUAUGUUGGCCGGGCGACGGUUGUCCCGGUUUAAGCGUGUAGGUGUGUGUUCCAGGUAAAUCCGGUUCACUUUAACACUGAGGCGUGACGACGAGGCACUACGGUGCUGAAGCAACAAAUGCCCUGCUUCCAGGAAAAGCCUCUAAGCAUCAGGUAACAUCAAAUCGUACCCCAAACCGACACAGGUGGUCAGGUAGAGAAUACCAAGGCGCUUGAGAGAACUCGGGUGAAGGAACUAGGCAAAAUGGUGCCGUAACUUCGGGAGAAGGCACGCUGACACGUAGGUGAAGUGAUUUACUCAUGGAGCUGAAGUCAGUCGAAGAUACCAGCUGGCUGCAACUGUUUAUUAAAAACACAGCACUGUGCAAACACGAAAGUGGACGUAUACGGUGUGACGCCUGCCCGGUGCCGGAAGGUUAAUUGAUGGGGUCAGCGCAAGCGAAGCUCCUGAUCGAAGCCCCGGUAAACGGCGGCCGUAACUAUAACGGUCCUAAGGUAGCGAAAUUCCUUGUCGGGUAAGUUCCGACCUGCACGAAUGGCGUAAUGAUGGCCAGGCUGUCUCCACCCGAGACUCAGUGAAAUUGAACUCGCUGUGAAGAUGCAGUGUACCCGCGGCAAGACGGAAAGACCCCGUGAACCUUUACUAUAGCUUGACACUGAACAUUGAGCCUUGAUGUGUAGGAUAGGUGGGAGGCUUUGAAGUGUGGACGCCAGUCUGCAUGGAGCCGACCUUGAAAUACCACCCUUUAAUGUUUGAUGUUCUAACGUGGACCCGUUACCCGGGUUGCGGACAGUGUCUGGUGGGUAGUUUGACUGGGGCGGUCUCCUCCUAAAGAGUAACGGAGGAGCACGAAGGUUGGCUAAUCCUGGUCGGACAUCAGGAGGUUAGUGCAAUGGCAUAAGCCAGCUUGACUGCGAGCGUGACGGCGCGAGCAGGUGCGAAAGCAGGUCAUAGUGAUCCGGUGGUUCUGAAUGGAAGGGCCAUCGCUCAACGGAUAAAAGGUACUCCGGGGAUAACAGGCUGAUACCGCCCAAGAGUUCAUAUCGACGGCGGUGUUUGGCACCUCGAUGUCGGCUCAUCACAUCCUGGGGCUGAAGUAGGUCCCAAGGGUAUGGCUGUUCGCCAUUUAAAGUGGUACGCGAGCUGGGUUUAGAACGUCGUGAGACAGUUCGGUCCCUAUCUGCCGUGGGCGCUGGAGAACUGAGGGGGGCUGCUCCUAGUACGAGAGGACCGGAGUGGACGCAUCACUGGUGUUCGGGUUGUCAUGCCAAUGGCACUGCCCGGUAGCUAAAUGCGGAAGAGAUAAGUGCUGAAAGCAUCUAAGCACGAAACUUGCCCCGAGAUGAGUUCUCCCUGAGACUUUAGGUCUCCUGAAGGAACGUUGAAGACGACGACGUUGAUAGGCCGGGUGUGUAAGCGCAGCGAUGCGUUGAGCUAACCGGUACUAAUGAACCGUGAGGCUUAACCUU
rnacentral:rRNA from 1 species